CAAUAGCGUAUAUUAAAGUUGUUGCAGUUAAAACGCUCGUAGUUGAAUGUCUGCUGUGAGUUAUUCUGGUCCUUUUUGUGCACCAGAAUACUGCAAGCAUCCGAUUGCGGUUUCUUUCGAUUCUGCAAUCUUUGAGGAAAUUAGGGUGUUCAAAGCAGGCUUUUGCCUUGAAUACUUCAGCAUGGAAUGAUUUUUAGGACUUCUGUCCUUUAUGUCGGUUCUAGGGACGCGAAGUAAUGAUAUAUAGGGUCGGUCGGGGGCAUUCGUAUUGAACAGUCAGAGGUGAAAUUCUUAGAUUUGUUCAAGACUAACAACUGCGAAAGCAUUUGCCAAGGACGACCCCAUUAA
rnacentral:rRNA from 1 species